UAUUAAACUAUGAUUUUAAUAAUCUUACAGUCAGCACUUAUUUGCCUUUUGUUAGGUGUCACAUGGUGAGGAUCUGAAGAUGGAAGGAGAUAAACAAUGUGAAUUGGAUUGGACGGAUCAGAAACUGAGGGGACCAGAGCCAAGAAGCACUCUGAACUGUGGCAGCCGAUAGAAACUGGGCACCAGAUACCCAUGGAAAACCCAUACAGAGACAGGGUCAUUGUAUUUUACCACCUGGAGAGCAAUGUUCUUGGGAUGUAUGUCAUGUCGGGAUGAAUAAUCUACUGAAGUCUAAACAAUCACUGAUGAAUCUCCACUUCUGGCAGUGUUUUUGAGGGAAGUGUGAGUUAUUAGAGAAUAUUAUUGUUUGCUUGUAAUGGCAAAAUAAAUAUUAAUAAGAUAACAUUGUAUGUCUUGGUUACUUUUGUCAUUGCUGAGACAAAAUAUCCAAC
rnacentral:lncRNA from 1 species